rnacentral:rRNA from 1 species
GACGAACGCUGGCGGCGUGCCUAAUACAUGCAAGUAGAACGCUGAAGGAGGAGCUUGCUUCUCUGGAUGAGUUGCGAACGGGUGAGUAACGCGUAGGUAACCUGCCUGGUAGCGGGGGAUAACUAUUGGAAACGAUAGCUAAUACCGCAUAAGAGUAGAUGUUGCAUGACAUUUGCUUAAAAGGUGCAAUUGCAUCACUACCAGAUGGACCUGCGUUGUAUUAGCUAGUUGGUGGGGUAACGGCUCACCAAGGCGACGAUACAUAGCCGACCUGAGAGGGUGAUCGGCCACACUGGGACUGAGACACGGCCCAGACUCCUACGGGAGGCAGCAGUAGGAAAUCUUCGGCAAUGGACGGAAGUCUGACCGAGCAACGCCGCGUGAGUGAAGAAGGUUUUCGGAUCGUAAAGCUCUGUUGUAAGAGAAGAACGAGUGUGAGAGUGGAAAGUUCACACUGUGACGGUAUCUUACCAGAAAGGGACGGCUAACUACGUGCCAGCAGCCGCGGUAAUACGUAGGUGGCAAGCGUUAUCCGGAUUUAUUGGGCGUAAAGAGAGUGCAGGCGGUUUUCUAAGUCUGAUGUGAAAGCCUUCGGCUUAACCGGAGAAGUGCAUCGGAAACUGGAUAACUUGAGUGCAGAAGAGGGUAGUGGAACUCCAUGUGUAGCGGUGGAAUGCGUAGAUAUAUGGAAGAACACCAGUGGCGAAGCGGCUACCUGGUCUGCACUGACGCUGAGACUCGAAAGCAUGGGUAGCGAACAGGAUAGGUACCCUAGUAGUCGAAGGGCGAAUUCUACAGUGGAUAUCAGCUAUCGAUACCGUCGACGUCGAGGGGGGGCCGGUACCCAGCUUUUGUUCCCUUUAAUAAAAGAUAAUUGCGC